UCGAUUGCUGGUUGGGUCAUUGUCAACUUGAGAUCCAUACUCAUCUUUGAAAAGACGGUUAGUUGGGCCCCCAAUGGGAAAUGACUUGCCCUGAAAAAAAGUUUAUCACCUUGGAAAAGCUUCCUCGCAAUAUUAUCGGAUUGAAAAACAACCUUGUGUCCCAACCAGUGCAGUAAAAUUUGGAAGGUACUGCAAUCGAUGUCGCUUGCUAGAUGGUAGGUGCUUGGAAGUAGGCACCCAGCCACCUAUAAACAUAAUGGAGAGGGAAAACCCAUGCGAGCAUGUCCCAAACUCUUUGAAGUGUUAGUCGCCACAUUGAGCCCAUUAUAGAUACUGCAUAAGAUGGGUUGGGCUUUUGGCCUUGGCCAAAUCACAAGCCAUAUAAAGGUACUCGGUCCUAAUUUCAGGACCCAAUAUAGGACGUCAAGUAGAUGGUAUCAAUUAGGUCUGUGGGACGGGUAGGCAUCUCAACCUUAAGGACAGGGGGCUUGUUACUUGAAGUUAGAAUAGGGUUGCCUAGUUCCCCUAUAGCCCUGUCUGAAUCGAAGAAAUGGGUGAUCCACACUUUAGGGCCUCCUUAAAGAGAAGCCAACUUCCAAAAUUCCUUGAAUGGCCUUCUCAAGGCUGUCGGCUUUCGAAGGCCGGGAUAAACUUUAUCCUCAAGUAUGAUGUCAUUAUCUGGGAUAAACUCCUCAUAACGAUCUCCAAGAAGGGAAAGAUCGUCAAUGAAAUGAAGAUCCAAGAGAGACAUGACGGCCUCCCCAUGGUCAAAGAAGUUGGUGUUUUUCGCUCAACACUAGGUCUCCAAGUAUGCCCUCACCACGUUAGUAUAACAAUCAUAUGGCCAGGUCAAACAUUCGCAGGCGCCUAAGAGUUCUGUGCUUAUGAGAUCAUUUUAGAAGCUGCUCUCUUCCUCACAUCUAAACUUGAGGGAUCCUGUCAGGCAGUACGCUUGGCAAUUUGAUGUGCAAGUAUAGGAAAUAUUCUAUUUCCAACGACAAUUUUAUGCUCAUAAUGGAGAAGGAGGAGGAAGACCCCGAUGAUAAUCCUUGCUAAACUUGCCAAGGCCAAGAGGCUCGAUCAAAUAAUUGAUAGAAAGGGGCCAUCUUAGAUAUUCAUUAACAUUGCCGUUAGCUUGGCAUACGGGUCUAUGACGAGCUAAUUCAACCCCGGUGCACUUUUCCCACCAAUCCUCUACUCCUUCAAGAAUUUCUUGGGACACAUGACAUCUAAAAUAGGAGAAAAGAGUUUCAUUUAAUCGGAACUUAUCUGCAUAUCAUUCAUAUUGGUCUAAGGCUCUGACCAACUACCGAAGCCUGUCAUGGCUUAAGUCGAAAGUCUGACCUUACAUUUCUCAUAUAUUGGGUUAAGAAUCUGACCGAUCAUUGAUGUUUGUCACAGUCACACACACACACGCUCACACACACAUACUCGCACUCACACUCACAUUCACACAUACUCACACUCACAGAUAUAUAAGCUAUCACCUCUAAUCUGAUAAGUCUAGACAAAAUUCCAUAUUACUAUGUAUAGAAUUAGGCACAAGAUUGUGUUUCGUCUCUUGAUGAGUUUGGGUAUGCUAAAUACCCAACUGUGAUAGUCCAUGUAAUUUUUUUUCUUAUUUGUACUUGUUUUUAUUAAUAUUGAUGAGCUUCAUUUUCAUCGAGUUUUCUUAUAAAUCAACAAGCAUGAAAGCAACUUAUCAUCGAGCCGGAUCUCUUUUCGUUAUUUGAUAUUUGAGAUCUUGAUCUUGCAAGCUUGAUUUGCUUAACGGUUCUUUCUUCUCUAGUUUAUUUCUGCUCUUGCUUCUUUCAUGCAAAUAUGGAGUGAAUUUGCUGGCGCUUUACUUGUGGUUUGCAAUUUUAUUAAGUAACGUUUUCUUAACACACACACUCUCGCUUCUUUCAUGCAAAUAUGAGUGAAUUUUCUGGAGCUUUACUUGUGGUUUACGGUUUUAUUAAUUAACUUUUUCUUAACACACACACUCUUGCUUCUUUCAUGCAAAUAUGGAGUGAUUUUUCUAGAGCUUUACUUGUGGUUUGCGAUUUUAUUAACUUUUUUUUAACACACACACUCUUGCUUCUUUCAUGCAAAUAUGGAGUGAAUUUUUUGAAGCUUUACUUGUGGUUUGCAAUAUCAUGCAACUUUUUCUUAACACACACACACACAUGCACACCAAACACACACACUCACGCUAAUGCAUAAGGAUGGGUUUAUAUAUACACUAAUGUAUAAGACCAUGUAUAUACUUAUUCUCACUGAUAUAUACAAUUAUUAGCUCAAUUUCUGUACGUAUUUAUGUAUAGCAAUAUAUACCACCGUUUUUCGAGUGUAUAUAUAUAUACUGAUGCAUAUAACCAUACAAUACAUUUGUUAUCCGUUAUAUAUACAAAUAGUGUGUAAAAAUACAUUUAUAUGUGCGUGUGUGUGUGUGAUGAUUAUACGAUGUGUAUAUACGGAUGUGUAUAUGUAAAGUACAUAAUUGUAUAUAUACAGUGCAUUAAUAUAUACAUUUCUAUAUACAUUGAUGUAUAUGACUAUAUGUACACUUAUUAUCGGUUUAUACAUUGAUUAACGCAUUGUCCAUUGAUUUAUGUACUACACAGACACACAUGCACUCACACUCACACUCACACUCACGCAUUCACACUCACACUCACACUCACACUCACACUCACACUCACACACUCACACUCACACUCACACUCACAUACUCACAUCAUACUCACAUCAUACUCACACUCACACUCACACUCACACGCACAUAUACGCACACAUACACACACUCACACUCACACUCACACUCUCAGUUAUAUAUAGUAUCACCUCUAAUCUGAUAAUCCUAUGCAAAAUUCCAUAUUACUUUGUAUAGAAUUAGACAUAAGAAUGGGUAUGCUAAAUUCCCAAUUGUGAUAGUCGAUGUUAAUUUUUUUUCUUAUUUGUACUUGUUCCUAUUAAUAUUGAUGAGCUUCAUCUUCAUCGAGUUUUCUUGUAAAUCAACAAGCAUGAAAGCAACUUAUCAUCGAGGCAGAUCUCUUAACGUUAUUCGAUAUUUGAGAUCUUGAUCUAGCAAGCUUGAUUUUCUUAAUAGUUCUUUCUUUUCUAGUACAGUGCUGCUCUUUCUUCUUUCAUGCAAAUACGGAAUGAAUUUUCUAGAGCUUUACUUGUGGUUUGCAUUUUUAUUAAGUAACUUUUUCUUAGCAUACAACUCUCUCUUCUUUUUUAACUUUUUCUUAACACACACACACACACACACACACCACACACAUACACU
rnacentral:lncRNA from 1 species